rnacentral:lncRNA from 1 species
GAGUUUAUUGAUUUUUAAACAGACUGCUUCUAAUAAGGGCUUAUUUUAGCUCUAAUAAGGCUCUUUUCUUUUUUUUAAGUGGGUGCAGCAAAAAGAAUUUAAUGUCAAUCUCUGGGUAAAGUAUGUGUAAUUGCUUUGGAGGACGACACCCUGAAACAAAAAUGCAGACCACAUGCAACUCCCAAGACAUCGAGCCCUUAAGGACACUCUUUGAAAGCACAGCAAGCCUUUGCCCACUGCCUCCCAGCUCUUGGCUCAGCAUGAAGAUGGCUAGGCAGAUUUACUGAGGACACAUGGAACAAUAAUCUGAAGAAACAACAAGAGUGCAUGGUCCAUAUGCUAUGGGCCCGGCACCGUGCUAAGUGAUUUAUCAGUGCCUUCAUUUUCCUCUUUCAUGGAUGAGGAAACUGAUGCUCAAGAGGCUAACCCAGAGUGGAACAACUUGUGUGUGACACCACUGGGAUUCUCACCCUGCUCAAACAAAGCCUGUGCUUGUGACUGCCGAGGACACAGUGUUUUGCCACCCAUCCGGGCAGUACCGUGCCAGGAACUCUGGGAACUGUAG